rnacentral:tRNA from 1 species
GGGGCUAUAGCUCAGUUGGGAGAGCGAUACAAUGGCAUUGUAUAGGUCGGCGGUUCGAACCCGCCUAGCUCCACCA